GGAAGCGAUUUUGCCGUGCAGUCCACAUAGGGCGUGGAUUUGUACCACGGUCUUGAAACCGUCGAUGGGCAACUAUCCUAGAGUUCGAAUCUCUACGCUUCCGCCA
rnacentral:tRNA from 1 species